UGCUCCCGCCGCUGCUGCUGUAAAAGGAGAAAAAGAAGGAGCAAAAAUAAAAGGAGAAAAAAGAAAGAAGGCAAACUCAAGCGGACGAGCGUCGAGCUCAGGGCUUGGGCCCAAAUGCUGCUACUCCGCUGCCACCAUCUCCACUCCGGAGACAGGGAAUGGUGAAGGAUUCCUUCAUACAUAUGAAGAAAGAAGAUAAACAUUCAGACAAAAACAAGUUGUACUGAUGCUGAGAGAUAGUAGGAACUGCAGAUGCUGGAAAAUCUGACAUAACAAGGUGUAGAGCUGGAUGAACACAGCAGGCCAAGCAGCAUCAUAGGAGCAGGAAGGCUGACGUUUCGGGCCUAGACCCUUCAUCAGAACUGUUUAAAUGAACCAUUUCAAUGAAAUCUGUAGAGAAAGCUGCAUAACAUUAAAAAUAUCCAACUCCA